GGUAGCUGGGGACUUGGAUCCUCUCCUGAGCUAGCCUUAACGGAGCCUAGGGAUCAAUUGCUCCCAGCCUUUCAAUCUGAUCCUGCGGCCAAGAAGCUUUCAAAUUAUUUCACGCAACCCAAAGCAAUUUUGUUUGCCUUUUACCAUUCCCGCUCUUAAUCCACCUCCCCUUCUUCUCCGUGUCUCCCCCUAAUCUCCAGCUCUCUACAAAAUUCCCGCUCCCCUAAUCUGCAGCUUCGUUCCUCCAAAAAAAAAAUCCAAUUCUUGCAUGCAAUCUGGUGGCGGAGGAGGAGGCGGGCCCGGCUGGCCGUGCCAGAUCGACGUCAUCGUCCUCGACGCCGCAACAGGGUUUUGAUUCGGUGCAGCAUCAACAACAUCAACAACAGCAACAACAACAACAGCAGCAAUUGGGGUCUAGAUAGUUAGAGGCAUAAUUUGUAGAAAAGAUGGCUAUGGUUGAUGAAACCUUGUACCGAUCGCCGUUUUAAUCAAUGAGCUGAAGAACGAAGACAUAAAGCUCCGUUUGAACUCAAUCCGGAGGAUUUCCACGAUUGCCCGUGCACUGGGAGAAGAGAGGACCAAGAAGGAACUGAUUCCUUUCCUCAGCGAGAACAACGAUGAUGAUGAUGAAGUGCUGCUGGCAAUGGCGGAAGAGUUGGGGGUGUUUAUCCCUUAUGUGGGUGGUGUGGAUCAUGCCAACGUUCUGGGUUGAAUAUUUCAUUCCUUUGGUUAAGAGACUUGCUACCGGAGGGUGGUUUACAGCCCGAGUUUCAUCCUGCAGUUUGUUUCAUAUUGCUUACCCUAGUUCAUGAUGCAAACUUGUUCUUUGGACCAAGAUAAGUCUUGGCGUAUUCGGUACAUGGCUGCGAAUCAAUUAUACGAGCUGUGUGAAGCUGUUGGUCCAGAAGCUACAAGGUAGUCAGUUUAUUUUGUGGCUUGGCUUUUAUUGUGAAUACUGUAUUACUUGGAUUAGGAUGUUGUAAUUAUGUAAAUGUGAAUCGAUUGUCCGAUCUCUCUCUCUACCUACUUUGUUGAGUUCUAAAUUAAUUGAUAAGUGUGGUGAUGUUGAUAUA